ensembl:lncRNA
AUCAUGGCCAGGCUCCGAGCCCUGCACCACCCCCACCAGAUCAUGGCCAGGCUCCGAGCCCUGCACCACCCCCACCAGAUCACAGCCAGGCUCAGAGCCCUACACCACUCCCACCAGAUCACAGCCAGGCUCAGAGCCCUACACCACUCCCACCAGAUCACAGCCAGGCUCAGAGCCCUACACCACUCCCACCAGAUCACAGCCAGGCUCAGAGCCCUACACCACUCCCACCAGAUCAUAACCAGGCUCAGAGCCCUACACCACUCCCACCAGAUCAUAACCAGGCUCAGAGCCCUACACCACUCCCACCAGAUCACAGCCAGGCUCCGAGCCCUGCACCACCCCCACCAGAUCAUGGCCAGGCUCAGAGCCCUACACCACUCCCACCAGAUCACAACCAGGCUCAGAGCCCUACACCACUCCCACCAGAUCAUAGCCAGGCUCAGAGCCCUGCACCACCCCCCACCAGAUCAUAGCCAGGCUCCGAGCCCUGCACCACCCCCACCAGAUCAUGGCCAGGCUCCGAGCCCUGCACCACUCCCACCAGAUCACAGCCAGGCUCAGAGCCCUACACCACUCCCACCAGAUCACAACCAGGCUCAGAGCCCUACACCACUCCCACCAGAUCAUAGCCAGGCUCAGAGCCCUGCACCACCCCCACCAGAUCAUAGCCAGGCUCAGAGCCCUGC